GUAUGAUGUUCUGGUAUAUAUGGUAGGUUAUGCAGCAGACAACCCGGGGGAAAGGUUUUUUUAUGCCUUAACAUGCUUCAGCAAUAAGUUUAUUUAUUCUGAUUGUGACGAAGCAUAUCGAUUGAAUGAAAGUGGAAACCUUAAUGUGCCUCCUGAUGCACUUGAUUUGUUCUGCCAUGGACCUUGUCUUGCUGAGACACAGCAAGUGCUGAAGUGAGUUGACAGCAUGUUAUCGACCUUCAUUUUCAAUAAUAAGGCUAGAGUACCAGAUAUAAGAGGUAUCCUCCAUGAAGGUUGCAGCUAUACCAGCCAAAGAGGGAACUUCAAUGGUUUUGGACCUUUCGGGGAGUAUAUACAAGGCGAAAAUGCUGCAGCAGAGCUACCAAAGUUAGUCAGCUUAUUCACAAUCUUAUGUAUUACAGGAUGUUGUCUCUUCUUUAUCUUUUGGUGAC